CCCUUAGAUGUUCUGGGCCGCACGCGUGCUACACUGAGUGGAUCAGCGGGUCAGGUUGCGCGAAAGUGUUUCCUAAUCUUGAAAUCCGCUCGUGAUGGGGAUUGACGGUUGCAAUUUUCCGUCAUGAACGAGGAAUACCUUGUAAGCGCGGGUCAUCAUCCCGCGCUGAAUACGUCCCUGCCCUUUGUACACACCGCCCGUCGCUCCUACCGAUUGAGUGGUCCGGUGAGGCUUUGGGAUCUGAGCGGAAAGAGCGUUUCGCUGUUUCUGCUCGGAAAACUCAGUCGAACCUUAUCAUUUAGAGGAAGGAUAAGUCGUAACA
rnacentral:rRNA from 1 species